rnacentral:tRNA from 2 species
UGGGUUGUGGCUCCAUGGUAGAGCAGUUGCCUAGCAUGCAUGGGGCACUGGGUUCAAUCCCCAGCACCACAU